AAAUAGAUUCCUUUACAAAGUUUAUCAGAAAAGAUGUACCAUUGACCAAAGUUCAAAAUAACUGUCUCCAGUACAAAUUUGCUAUUACAUACAAAUUCAGAGCCCUAUUAUGUGAAGUACUGGCAGAUAGUAUCUAUGUUUUUAUAUACCAGCAUUUAUAUCGAGAGAUUCAAUAAUGUCUUUUUAGAGAUUUAUGGACAAGCAUUGGUAAGUUGUGAAUUGCUGACAGCAUAUGUGCAAGCAAAUCCACAAGAAGACUUGGAAAAAUGGUGUAAUCAAGCAAAAACAUGAUAAAUUUUAGGUGGCAGAUCAUAUUUCCUCCAAGUAUAGAUACUAUAGGGUUUCCCUAAAAAUUUAACUUGACCACAGCGAACUAACUUGUUCCCCAAGUUACUCACAGGAGACAAUUUUACUGAAUAGGAAAAAGAAUUCAAGAUAUUGCACAUGUCAUUAAGCAUGAAACAAAAAUGAGAUAGGCGCAGUAUGCUGUCAGUUCCACCCCAUAUUAUUCAGAUACAUGCCAACAUACAAUUUUCAGAAGGAAAUCUGGAAUAUAAGAAAUACUAUAAUUUAUCUGCAGGAAUCUUUUAGCUUCUAAUAUUAUCAUAUUUAACUGUUGAAACAGUGAAUGACAAUUCUAGAU
rnacentral:lncRNA from 1 species